AGUAACACGUAUGCAAUCCACCUGUAACAGGGGGAUAACCCGGAGAAAUCCGGACUAAUACCCCAUAAUAUGGGCGCUCCGCAUGGAGAGUCCAUUAAAGAGAGCAAUCUUGGUUACAGACGAGCAUGCGCUCCAUUAGCCAGUUGGCGGGGUAACGGCCCACCAAGGCGACGAUCGGUAGCCGGACUGAGAGGUUGAACGGCCACAUUGGGACUGAGGCACGGCCCAG
rnacentral:rRNA from 1 species